GUAGGGAAUAUUGGACAAUGGGCGAAAGCCUGAUCCAGCCAUGCCGCGUGAUAGAUGAAGGCCCUCUGGGUUGUAAAUAUCUUUUAUCUGGGAAGAAACUCCUCUAUUCUUAGAGGCCUGACGGUACCAGAGGAAUAAGCACCGGCUAACUCCGUGCCAGCAGCCGCGGUAAUACGGAGGGUGCAAGCGUUAUCCGGAUUCACUGGGUUUAAAGGGUGCGUAGGCGGGUUGAUAAGUCAGUGGUGAAAGCUCCGGGCUUAACUUGGAAACUGCCAUUGAUCCUGUCAAUCUUGAAUGUCGUAGAGGUAAGCGGAAUGUUGCAUGUAGCGGUGAAAUGCUUAGAUAUGUUACAGAACACCAAUUGCGAAGGCAGCUUACUAUGCGAUAAUUGACGCUGAGGCACGAAAGCGUGGGGAGCAAACAGGAUUAGAAACCCUAGUAGUCC
rnacentral:rRNA from 1 species